rnacentral:rRNA from 1 species
UGCCAGCCGCCGCGGUAAUACGGAGGGUGCAAGCGUUGUUCGGAAUUAUUGGGCGUAAAGCGUGCGUAGGCGGACUGUUAAGUCUGAUGUGAAAGCCCCGGGCUCAACCUGGGAACUGCAUUCGAUACUGGCAGACUAGAGUGCGAGAGAGGGAGGUAGAAUUCCAUGUGUAGCGGUGAAAUGCGUAGAUAUGUGGAGGAAUACCAGUGGCGAAGGCGGCCUCCUGGCUCGACACUGACACUGAGGUGCGAAAGCGUGGGGAGCAAACAGGAUUAGAUA